rnacentral:rRNA from 1 species
AAUGAACGCUGGCGGCGCGCCUAAUACAUGCAAGUCGAGCGAGAAGACGUAGCAAUACGUUUGUAAAGCGGCGAACGGGUGAGGAAUACAUGGGUAACCUACCCGUUGAGUGGGGAAUAACUAGCCGAAAGGUUAGCUAAUACCGCGUACGCUUUCCUGGACUUCGGUUCAGGGAGGAAAGCGAUGCCGAGGGUAUCGCGACUCUUGGAUGGGCUCAUGUCCUAUCAGCUUGUUGGNGAGGUAACGGCUCACCAAGGCUUCGACGGGUAGCUGGUCUGAGAGGACGAUCAGCCACACU